CCUACGGGAGGCAGCAGUGGGGAAUAUUGGACAAUGGGCGCAAGCCUGAUCCAGCCAUGCCGCGUGAGUGAUGAAGGCCUUAGGGUUGUAAAGCUCUUUUGUCCGGGAAGAUAAUGACUGUACCGGAAGAAUAAGCCCCGACUAACUUCGUGCCAGCAGCCGCGGUAAUACGAAGGGGGCUAGCGUUGCUCGGAAUCACUGGGCGUAAAGGGCGCGUAGGCGGACUCUUAAGUCGGGGGUGAAAGCCCAGGGCUCAACCCUGGAAUUGCCUUCGAUACUGAGAGUCUUGAGUUCGGAAGAGGUUGGUGGAACUGCGAGUGUAGAGGUGAAAUUCGUAGAUAUCCGCAAGAACACCAGUGGCGAAGGCGGCCAACUGGACUAAUACUGACACUGAGGUGCGAAAGCGUGGGGAGCAAACAGGAUUAGAUACCCGAGUAGUC
rnacentral:rRNA from 1 species